GAUGAAGAACGUAGCGAAAUGCGAUAAGUAAUGUGAAUUGCAGAAUUCAGUGAAUCAUCGAAUCUUUGAACGCACAUUGCGCCCCCCAGUAUUCUGGCGGGCAUGCCUGUUCGAGCGUCAUUUCAACCAUCAAGCCCUGCUUGUGUUGGGGUCCUGCGGCUGCCCGCAGGCCCUGAAAACCAGUGGCGGGCUCGCUAGUCACACCGAGCGCAGUAGCACAACUCGCUCAGGGCGUGCGGCGGGCUCCAGCCGUUAAAGCACCCACCUUUCGCAAGGUUGACCUCGGAUCAGGUAGGAAUACCCGCUGAACUUAAGCAUAUCAUAGCGAGGA
rnacentral:misc_RNA from 1 species